rnacentral:rRNA from 1 species
AUUGAACGCUGGCGGCAUGCCUAACACAUGCAAGUCGAACGGCAGCACGGCAGUAGCAAUACUGUGGGUGGCGAGUGGCGGACGGGUGGAGGAAUACGUCGGAAUCUCGCCCAGUCGGUGGGGGAUAACUACGACCGAAAGGUUAGCUAAUACCGCAUACGACCGAGAGGUAGAAAGGCGGGGGACCGCAAGGCCUCGCGCGAUUGGAUGAGCCGACGUCGGAUUAGCUAGUUGGAGGGGUAAAGGCCCACCAAGGCGACGAUCCGUAGCUGGUCUGAGAGGAUGAUCAGCCACACUGGAACUGAGACACGGUCCAGACUCCUACGGGAGGCAGCAGUGGGGAAUAUUGGACAAUGGGCGCAAGCCUGAUCCAGCAAUGCCGCGUGUGUGAAGAAGGCCUUCGGGUUGUAAAGCACUUUUAUCAGGAACGAAAAGCGUUGGAUUAAUACUCUGACGUGCUGACGGUACCUGAGGAAUAAGCACCGGCUAACUUCGUG